GACGAACGCUGGCGGCGUGCUUAACACUUGCAAGUCGAACGGAAAGGCCCUGCUUUUGUGGGGUGCUCGAGUGGCGAACGGGUGAGUAACACGUGAGUAACCUGCCCUUGACUUUGGGAUAACUUCAGGAAACUGGGGCUAAUACCGGAUAGGAGCUCCUGCUGCAUGGUGGGGGUUGGAAAGUUUCGGCGGUUGGGGCUGGACUCGCGGCUUAUCAGCUUGUUGGUGGGGUAGUGGCUUACCAAGGCUUUGACGGGUAGCCGGCCUGGGAGGGUGACCGGCCACAUGGGGACUGAGGUAGGGCGCAGACUCCUACGGGAGGCAGCAGUGGGGAAUAUUGCACAGUGGGCGGAAGCCUGAGGAAGCAACGCCGCGUGCGGGAUGACGGCCUUCGGGUUGUAAACCGCUUUAGCCUGUGACGAAGCGUGAGUGACGGUAAUGGGUGAAGAAGCACCGGCUAACUACGUG
rnacentral:rRNA from 1 species